rnacentral:rRNA from 1 species
CCCUAGCCCUAAACAGAUGAUCGUAUACUAUCAUUUUUCGCCAGGGUAUUACGAGCACGAAGCUUGAAACCCAAAGGACUUGGCGGUGCUUCAUACCCCCCUAGAGGAGCCUGUCCUAUAACCGAUUACACCCGUUUAACCUCACCCCCUCUCGUCUCUUCAGCCUAUAUACCGCCGUCGCCAGUUUACCCUGUGAAGGAUUAAUAGUUAGCACAAUUAGUAAAGCCCAAAACGUCAGGUCGAGGUGUAGCCCAUGAGGGGGGAAGAGAUGGGCUACAUUUUCUGACUCAGAAAAUACGGACGUUGCAAUGAAAAAACAGUCUGAAGGUGGAUUUAGCAGUAAGGGGGGAACAGAGUGCCCCCCUGAAGUCGGCCCUGAAGCACGU